rnacentral:rRNA from 1 species
AUAGCCCCCUGACACCCAUAGGGGGUGCAACCUGCUCAAUGGUUGAAAAUAAAUAAUAAUAAAUACAGUUAAAUAGCCGCGGUAACUCUGACCGUGAUAAAGUAGCAUAAUCACUUGUCACCUAAUUAGUGAAUAGUAUGAAUGGUUAAACGAAUCCUAAGCUGUCUCAAUAAGAAACCUUAUAAAAUUGGAAUUGUAGUGAAGAUACUACAUAAAGAUUGCAAGACGAAAAGACCCUAUUGAGCUUUACUGGAUACUUACAGCUAUUACAAAAAGUAAAUAUUACAGACCAUAUCACCUGUAAGUAAGACAGUUUGGUUGGGGCGACCGCCUCUAAAAAAGUAACAGAGGAGAUCUAAAGGUAAAUUAUAUGAAUACUGGCCUAACUGAAAUAAUAAUAAUUUAAACAGAUAUAAAAAAUAGGACAUAAUGACCCGUUACAGUCUAAUAAACACUAUAACGAUUACAGAAAAAGUUACCAUAGGGAUAACAGGGUAAUAUUUUCUAAGAGUUCUAAUCGACGAAAAUGUUUGCCACCUCGAUGUUGAAUUAUGAUAUCCUAGGGGUGCAGCAGCUCCUAAGGGUUGGUCUGUUCGACCAUUAAAAUCUUAC